rnacentral:rRNA from 1 species
GACGAACGCUGGCGGCGUGCCUAAUACAUGCAAGUUGAGCGAUGAAGAUUGGUGCUUGCACCAAUUUGAAGAGCAGCGAACGGGUGAGUAACGCGUGGGGAAUCUGCCUUUGAGCGGGGGACAACAUUUGGAAACGAAUGCUAAUACCGCAUAAUAACUUUAAACAUAAGUUUUAAGUUUGAAAGAUGCAAUUGCAUCACUCAAAGAUGAUCCCGCGUUGUAUUAGCUAGUUGGUGAGGUAAAGGCUCACCAAGGCGAUGAUACAUAGCCGACCUGAGAGGGUGAUCGGCCACAUUGGGACUGAGACACGGCCCAAACUCCUACGGGAGGCGGCAGUAGGGAAUCUUCGGCAAUGGACGAAAGUCUGACCGAGCAACGCCGCGUGAGUGAAGAAGGUUUUCGGAUCGUAAAACUCUGUUGGUAGAGAAGAACGUUGGUGAGAGUGGAAAGCUCAUCAAGUGACGGUAACUACCCAGAAAGGGACGGCUAACUACGUG